GAAAAAGUUUAAUUGUGGAACUGUGAUUUUUUUCAUGAUUAUAGCCCAAAAAUAGGUAAAAAUCGAUGAAAAUGGGAAAAUCAUCAAAAUUGGGCAUUUUCAAAGGGCCGUAGCAAAAAAAGAACUGCACCACCAUAUGAUUUUUUCUCCACCAAUUAUUUUGUUAGUCUUAUAAACCCAAAAAUCAGGUUAAGAAAAAAAGUUUAAUUCUAGAAAUUUUUGGCUCCUCAG
rnacentral:lncRNA from 1 species